GUAACACGUGGAUAACCUACCUAUAAGACUGGGAUAACUUCGGGAAACCGGAGCUAAUACCGGAUAAUAUAUUGAACCGCAUGGUUCAAUAGUGAAAGACGGUUUUGCUGUCACUUAUAGAUGGAUCCGCGCCGCAUUAGCUAGUUGGUAAGGUAACGGCUUACCAAGGCAACGAUGCGUAGCCGACCUGAGAGGGUGAUCGGCCACACUGGAACUGAGACACGGUCCAGACUCCUACGGGAGGCAGCAGUAGGGAAUCUUCCGCAAUGGGCGAAAGCCUGACGGAGCAACCGCCCGCGUUGAAGUGAUGAAAGGUUCUUCGGGAUUCGUAAAAACUUCUGUUAUUUAGGGAAAGAACAAAAUGGUGUAAAGUAACUUAUGCAACGUCUUGGACGGGUACCUUAAUCAAGAAAAGCCACGGGCUAAACUACGKGCCCAGCAGCCGCGGGUAAUACGUAGGUGGCAAGCGUUAUCCCGGAAUUAUUGGGCGUAAAGCGCGGCGUAGGCGGUUUUUUUAAGUCUGAUGUGAAAGCCCACGGGCUCAACCGUGGAGGGUCAUUGGAAACUGGAAAACUUGAGUGCAGAAGAGGAAAGUGGAAUUCCAUGUGUAGCGGUGAAAUGCGCAGAGAUAUGGAGGAACACCAGUGGCGAAGGCGACUUUCUGGUCUGUAACUGACGCUGAUGUGCGAAAGCGUGGGGAUCAAACAGGAUUAGAUACCCUGGUAGUCCACGCCGUAAACGAUGAGUGCUAAGUGUUAAGGGGGUUUCCCGCCCCUUAUKUGCUGCAGCUAACGCAUUUAAGCACUCCCGCCUGGGGGAGUACCGACCCGCAAGGUUUGAAACUCAAAGGAAUUGACGGGGACCCGCACAAGCGGUGGAGCAUGUGGUUUAAUUCGAAGCAACGCGAAGAACCUUACCAAAUCUUGACAUCCUCUGACCCCUCUAGAGAUAGAGUUUUCCCCUUCGGGGGACAGAGUGACAGGUGGUGCAUGGUUGUCGUCAGCUCGUGUCGUGAGAUGUUGGGUUAAGUCCCGCAACGAGCGCAACCCUUAAGCUUAGUUGCCAUCAUUAAGUUGGGCACUCUAAGUUGACUGCCGGUGACAAACCGGAGGAAGGUGGGGAUGACGUCAAAUCAUCAUGCCCCUUAUGAUUUGGGCUACACACGUGCUACAAUGGACAAUACAAAGGGCAGCGAAACCGCGAGGUCAAGCAAAUCCCAUAAAGUUGUUCUCAGUUCGGAUUGUAGUCUGCAACUCGACUAUAUGAAGCUGGAAUCGCUAGUAAUCGUAGAUCAGCAUGCUACGGUGAAUACGUUCCCGGGUCUU
rnacentral:rRNA from 1 species